rnacentral:rRNA from 1 species
UGGGGAAUAUUGGGCAAUGGGCGCAAGCCUGACCCAGCAACGCCGCGUGAAGGAAGAAGGCUUUCGGGUUGUAAACUUCUUUUAUCAGGGACGAAGCAAGUGACGGUACCUGAUGAAUAAGCCACGGCUAACUACGUGCCAGCAGCCGCGGUAAUACGUAGGUGGCAAGCGUUAUCCGGAUUUACUGGGUGUAAAGGGCGUGUAGGCGGGAGUGCAAGUCAGAUGUGAAAACUAUGGGCUCAACCCAUAGCCUGCAUUUGAAACUGUACUUCUUGAGUGCUGGAGAGGCAAUCGGAAUUCCGU